GAUGAACGCUGGCGGCGUGCCUAAUACAUGCCAGUCGAGCGAACAGACGAGGAGCUUGCUCCUCUGACGUUAGCGGCGGACGGGUGAGUAACACGUGGAUAACCUACCUAUAAGACUGGGAUAACUUCGGGAAACCGGCGCUAAUACCGGAUAAUAUAUUGCACCGCAUGGUUCAAUAGUGAAAGACGGUUUUGCUGGCACUUAUAGAUGGAUCCGCGCCGCAUUAGCUAGUUGGUAAGGUCACGGCUUACCACGGCAACGAGGCGUAGCCGACCUGACAGGGUGAUCGGCCACACUGGAACUGGGACACGGUCCAGACUCCUACGGGAGGCAGCAGUAGGGAAUCUGCGGCAAUGGGCGAAAGCCUGACGGAGCAACGCCGCGUGAGUGAUGAAGGUCUUCGGAUCGUAAAACUCUGUUAUUAGGGAAGAACAAAUGUGUAAGUAACUAUGCACGUCUUGACGGUACCUAAUCAGAAAGCCACGGCUAACUACGUG
rnacentral:rRNA from 1 species